AACAAAGAGAGCCCAGAGAGCUCUGCUUUUACAUUUUAAGGGACUUCACUGAAUCCAUCAAUACAUACAACUAGAUGGCUGCACUGAAGAUAGUUUCCCUACAGUCUCCUCAGUCACUGGACACAAGUGACAGUGAAGAUUAAUUACAACAUCCAACUCAGGUCAACCCAAAUGUCUCUACCAUGAAGCUGAAUUUUUAAUCUUCUCCCAAAGGGCAUUUCUGUAACUCUGAGUCCUUUAUUAUGUAUGACAACUGAGUGACCAAGAGAUGUAUGUGUUCAAGUAAGGACUGCCUCCCCUUCUCAAUCUUAUCUCUCAGGUUACAAGUUUUACAGCAGGUUUUGGCAAUAAAUGAACUGAGACUUCAACAACAGAGCUGAAGUAUAAGGAUGUGGUAGAUUGAUCUGAGAAAUCCAAACGAUCUGCUGAUCUUGGAAGUGAAAAAGUUUUGUAACCCAAGUGCAUCAUUUGUAUUCUUUAUGCAUUAACACUGAUAUAUAAAAAAAACAUGAAAGAAGAAUCUCUUGGAUGCAGAAUACCCAGCUGAGUUCAGGCACAUUGCAUAUAGAUUAAUAAUUUGUAUGUAAUUUGGAAAGUCCAUCUGAAGACUUCACAAACCCCUGGGUUAAAGACAUUCUCCACUCCUAAUAAUAAAAGCUUUUUU